AUUGAACGCUGGCGGCAUGCCUAACACAUGCAAGUCGAACGGGGGCAGCAAUGCCCUAGUGGCGGACGGGUGAGGAAUACGUAGGAAUUGGCCCACGAGUGGGGGACAACCUGGGGAAACCCAGGCUAAUACCGCAUACGCUCGCGAGAGGAAAGCGGGGGACCUUCGGGCCUCGCGCUGGUGGACAAGCCUACGUCCGAUUAGCUUGUUGGUGGGGUAAAAGCCUACCAAGGCGACGAUCGGUAGCUGGUCUGAGAGGAUGAUCAGCCACACUGGGACUGAGACACGGCCCAGACUCCUACGGGAGGCUG
rnacentral:rRNA from 1 species